UCGCACACGUAGUUAAAAGUAUCGUAAAGAUUUAAUCGACCAAUGAGGCAACGUUUCUACAACCCACCGAGCGCGAGGCACCCAUGUUACAUCUACCACCUGCUCUGCGCAUGCGCGGAAGCGACCCCGAAGCCUAUAAAUGUAGCUCAUCAGCGCGAGCUCGACCCGAACAGUGAGAACGCUUAGCUAGCUGUGCUAACGUAGCAUAGCAUGUGGUGAAGUCGACACUGACACACGGAGUCAAAAAUGAUAAUUUAAGUGGAGAUUAGAAAGUAGUAUCGUGUGCCUUAUUGGACCAGAGCUGGAGAAGAAGCUUUUAUCUGGAAAAUAAAUAAAAUAAAUGAUCUACGAGGGGAGACCGGCGCGUUGGUGUUAGCGUGCUAACGCAGGCUAACUAGCAUUGUGGCUAACCGGAAAUCAGACCAACAAGCCAAGAUUUGUGACGAGGUGAAGUAAUGGACGCUGACUCGAAAGCUACCCCCGAGCGAAUUCUGCUCGAACCAUACAAGUACCUGUUGCAACUUCCAGGGAAGCAGGUGAGGACGAAACUAUCCCAAGCUUUUAACCACUGGCUCAAUGUUCCAGAGGACAAACUUCAGGUAAAGCUUCUUCUUACUGAGAGGACUUUAGAGCAGCGUGUUGUUGCAGACCUGUUCAGACAGGUG